rnacentral:rRNA from 1 species
GAUGAACGCUGGCGGCGUGCCUAAUACAUGCAAGUCGAGCGAACGGACGAGAAGCUUGCUUCUCUGAUGUUAGCGGCGGACGGGUGAGUAACACGUGGAUAACCUACCUAUAAGACUGGGAUAACUUCGGGAAACCGGAGCUAAUACCGGAUGAUAUUUUGAACCGCAUGGUUCAAAAGUGAAAGACGGUCUUGCUGUCACUUAUAGAUGGAUCCGCGCUGCAUUAGCUAGUUGGUAAGGUAACGGCUUACCAAGGCAACGAUGCAUAGCCGACCUGAGAGGGUGCUCGGCCACACUGGAACUGAGACACGGUCCAGACUCCUACGGGAGGCAGCAGUAGGGAAUCUUCCGCAAUGGGCGAAAGCCUUACGGAACAACGCCGCGUGAGUGAUGAAGGUCUUCGGAUCGUAAAACUCUGUUAUUAGGGAAGAACAUAUGUGUAAGUAACUGUGCACAUCUUGACGGUACCUAAUCAGAAAGCCACGGCUAACUACGUG